AUGCAGAGAGCGAGCGAGCGAGCAUGGGUCCCGGACCAAAGCACGGUCGCAGACGUCGUCGUCAGUCAGGCUUGUUUGUUCCUUCACUCCACCAAACACCAGAAAUCUGUUGCCGCCGCCUGCCGCUUAUUAUGGUGCCAUGGAACGAAGCAAACCAAUCAAUCACAGCCACAAGGUCGUUCCCGGUCCUCCUCCACCGCCGCCGGCCGCCGGCCGCCGCCUAUGCUUUCCUCUCCCGGGAACCCCCAUCCACGGUCUGAACUCUUAAUGUAUACAGCAAGUCAUAUUGGCUAUACUUUUGGCCUCUACGAAUGA
rnacentral:rRNA from 1 species